GUUCCACAGGAAGACUCCUUAGUGAGAUCAUGUAAGGUGGCCACAUCACAGGUGCCUGGGACUGCAGGCUCUGCUGGAUCUGUCUGCAAGAAUUCCUCAGCCCAGCCCUGGGUCCAUUAGAAUAACCCACUGUGUGUCAGCUUUGAUAGACCUUACCCGGGAACAGUCAUAAAGACAGAAGGGCAGCAAGCUCCUGCUUCAUACCCCAGUAACCCACAGCCUCCCUCUGUGCACAUGACUCCCACAGAUGCAGUAAAACCUGAUUUAAGUGCCAGCAGAGAGAGACUGCUUGAAAGGGAGCUUGGCACCAUGUUUCUUGGCCUCUCCAAAUCCGGUUUACGAUAGAUACCACAAAUACAUAGAUGAAAUGCUUCCAUCUGAAAGCCCUGUACUAUAUGGACUGCACCCCAGUGCUGAGAUGGGAUUCUUGUCAACAUCAGAUAAUCUCUUCAAAAUUCCUUUGGAAAAGCAACCCAUAUAUACGUGGGAGAGGGAUCAGGCCAAUCUGCAGUGAAGAGGGGGAGCUGAUGUUUUUUGCUCACAUGGAAAUGCCACAUUAUACACAAUAUACACUCUUCUGUGAUGUUGUGCCAGACACAUGGACUAAACCAGCGUAUGCACCCACACACAACUUUGUCCACUGGUAAGUACCCCACAGUGAGAGGAUUAAGCUACUAUGCAGAGCUAAUCCAGUGUUUUAAGCCCAGCAGCCUUGUUCCAUUCUUAUUUCUUCCAACUUUUGUCCUAAUGAAAGUCAGCUUUCCCUUGAAGUGGGUUUUGUAGAAACACCAAACACUUUGCUAAGGCAAAGGCUCUGUUACCUCCCUUUGUCCCAAGCACCAGCAUGUUCAGCAUCUUGUGGGAUUCCUUUCUGUUAGCCUGCCACCAGCAGUGGUUAGGCAUGGAUUAAACAGGCAUUGUUUCUGGAAAUUCUUUUGAUACCUCAUGGAAAUGUAUGGUGCAUUAUGCCACUAUUCAGAACCUCUGUAAGAGUCCCUUAUGUUCCUGAUUUGCACUUUGCUCUUGCUUAUUGGAAGUUUAAUUAUGAAGUUUAAAUACCAAUGAAGAUGGUAUCAGACAAUUUGCAUUUAAGAAGGCAUCUGCUGUUAGCAAAGCUGUUAACUUCUCAUGGUGAUGUUCAGGUUUCUCCCCAAGACAGCAGAUUUAACAGGAUUGACCAUACUCAUAUUCUCUGCUGCCAGCAACCCAUCCCAUGCUGAUCACCUUCUGCAACUCAUUUCAGACAUACUUAAUGAGGGAAACAACAAAUUCCACUGAAACUAUCACCUUAGACUUACAUAAGCUUAUACUUUCUGGUGACUUCAGCCAUGUACUUUCUCUGUAGACAAAAGGACUCUUUACACUUGAAAGUUUUUUGUUUGUUUGUUUAAAAAGCAGUUUACAUACAGUUAAGAGCUAUGGAUGCUUCUCUUUUAGGGUUACUAAAUGAUUUCACUAAAUGAUUUUACUCAUGAUUUUCUCAUGAGGUGCCAAGAACUUGACAUCUGGACACAGGACAUUGUGCUGCCAGCAGUGAGGCUUUCUGGCUUGUUCCAUCCCCAGUGCUUUCUGACAGGUCAGCAGUGAUGGGUGUAGGGCACCAUGCAUAUGGUUUCAAUGUCAGACAUUUCUCUUUAACUACUGGUUAUGUUUGUGAUGCUGUUUGGAGAGUUAAUCACAGCUUAAACAAAAAGAUUAAAAUCACCUUAACAUUGGAAUAAUCCUUUCCUGAAAGCAAGGGGAACAAUUCAAACUUGUCUUCAGACUACUCAGAAGUGUGAAGACAAAGCAGCUAAGGAAAUAAGAGCUUGAUUGUAUAGUUUAAAAGAGGUUUAAGAGUGCAACUUUUUCUACCAUUGUUAUUUAACUAAUUCAGUGCAUAUAUCCUGGUACCAUUCUGUUUUAUUCUAUAAAAGAGUUAUGAGGCAAAGGAGAAAAAUAAAUCAAGUCUCCCAAUCCUCUUUGUGCAGUUGUUGCCACAGUAGGGGACAGAAAACUUUCACCAGUGUAGUAAAUAAAGCACUACAUCUCAUUUCUUGUCACAAUCACAGAACACUAGCUGAGCUGGUUAGAGCUGCUAGGAACACCAAGGUUUGUGGGUUCAAUCUCCAUAUGGAUCAUUCAUUUAGGAGUAGGACUCCAUGAUUCUUGUUGGUCUCUUUCCUCAGAAUAUUCUGUGAAUGUAUGUUUGCAUUUAUUCUGAACAGCACAGGAGUGCUUGGUAACAGUGAAGCUCAAAUUCUGCAAGGUCACCAAUGGCAUUGAGCUAAAUGCCUCACUUGGCUAGCAGAAAUGUGGCCAGGAGCUCCUCACAGGACACUGGGCUGGGCUGCCAUAAUUCUCUGGAGAAGGGCAGACCUCACACAGUCUCAGGCUCGAGCGUGAUGGCCCAAGAGGUUGAAAGUUCUGACAUUAAAAUUACUGUCUGGAUAUAGAAUUACUGAAAGCACUUUUUUUUUUUUUAAACUGUAAUGCAGAGUAAGAACAACUGGCCUUUGGAUAAGGUGUGCUCAAUUGCAGAUGUAGCCAAAAACGCCAAGGAGGAGUGAGACCACCCAGCAAGGGAAGGAGCCUGUAUCUGUAUGCCUUCCAUGCAAGGUUCAAGAAUGAUACUUACUGGAUCAAGCAGAGCUGACUUCACAUCUUCACCGUAUCGAUUUCGAAGACAGGGUCCACAGAACUGCCCCCUGACUCCUCCACAGCCCUGCUUGCGACAGAUUGUCUUUGUAUCAGUUGUCUUCUGUCGACACUGGUGGCAAGUACUACC